GGAAGGGCCAUAGCUCAGUGGGAAGAGCAUCUGCCUUGCAAGUCAAAGGCCCCAGGUUCAAUACCGGUUGGUGUCUCCA